CAGUCGCCGCGGGAAUACGUAGGGUGCAAGCGUUAAUCGGAAUUACUGGGCGUAAAGCGUGCGCAGGCGGUUUGUUAAGACAGAUGUGAAAUCCCCGGGCUCAACCUGGGAACUGCAUUUGUGACUGGCAGGCUAGAGUGUGGCAGAGGGGGGUGGAAUUCCGCGUGUAGCAGUGAAAUGCGUAGAUAUGCGGAGGAACACCGAUGGCGAAGGCAGCCCCCUGGGCCAACACUGACGCUCAUGCACGAAAGCGUGGGGAGCAAACAGGAUUAGAUACCCGCGUAGUCCCUGUCUCUUAUAC
rnacentral:rRNA from 1 species